UGGAGCACAUAAACAAAGAUUCCACUGCUUGGACUGCUCCGGGGGUAGCCCUGCAAUAUUCAGCAGAGAGGAUGUCACGAUCCGUCACCGAUUGCUGCACAGUCUCACCAUUAUCAGAUUACAACCCCUGCAAGCAGCUACUCAGCAUGCACGAGGAGGAGGAGAAGGCAGAAGAUGGAUGAAGGAGACAACCAACACAGUCCAUCACUGUUCACAAUCAACUCAGUCAACUGCAAUUACAAGUAGGAUUGUCAUGAGGGAAGAGGAAGUAAGAGGUUUAUGUUUGCAGAACCUACAGCUUAUAAAUCAAUGGAGACUGUAAGAGGAGAAAACACAAUGGGAAGUGGUGAUUUAGACUCAUUUGAGAAGAUAGUGGCCAAGACUUUUCCCAAUCUGCCGACUGUUUACCAAUUUAUAACAUCUGUAUUUGUACUGGAAGAUAUAAAUAUUGUUUCCUCUGCAUUCCAACUGAUUGAUUGAAAGCAAUCAUCUACAGGAUCAUGAAAUUUUAUGUUUCUCUACAACAGGUUCAUCAGAAAAACACAUACACCAAACAUUGAGGUAUUGUGUUUGAAGAAAUAGAUUUGUAAUUACGCUGUAUAGUUGGAGUUUGUCAUUGUCAUGUAAUCUCUACUGUAACUUGCUUUAACUUUAGAAGAAACACUACAUGGCUUCAAAGACACGAUCUGGUGAAAUAUUUGUUACAAUUGUUAGAGGCGGAGGAAGACCAGCAGGAUGAAUAAUUACUACCAAGUAUAAGCAAAAUAAGUGAAGAGGACUCUCCAUUCAAACCCUGGGUGUAAAAUUAAAUGGUUUAGUCAUGUUCUGGGCCAUGGGUUUCUGUGCAAUACUCUGGAGAGAUUCAAUCUUACGUGAUGAUACUAUGGCUUUAAGAGGUGUACUGUAUUUGUUUUGUGAAGAGUGGUUCAGACAGGAGGGACAGAACUGUCUCUUUCAAGCCAAUGAAGUACACAGCUUGUGAGACCCUGGGUUUUAUUUUAAAAACUUAGAACAAUAGAAGCAGCAUGAAUGGGUGGAGUCAGGCUCCCAGGCACCCAGGCUUUUAGUUUAGCUUUCAGUUGUAGUUUUGAAGUUGGGUGCGGAAGCUGCUAUACAUCACUCCCAGCCACAGCAGAUAAGCUUGAGUCCUCCCUCUCUUCCAGAAUUUUCCCUUGGUGUUCUUUUCUGCUGGACUGGAGAAACAUUGCAUGUGAGGCAAUCUAUUUUACUGAAUUUGCCUUUGCAAAGGGUGUCUUUAUGGGAUGUUAUUAUAUUGGAACAGUUGCUGUUUAGUACUUAAAUAAUCUAUCACUCUGUAAGUUUUACAAUAUAAUUAAGAUUGUACAAAUUCUUCUUUCCUUUGCUUGUAUUUUAACAACAGGGUAAUAAACUGUGUUUUGCUUGAA